UGGGGAAUAUUGGACAAUGGGCGAAAGCCUGAUCCAGCAAUGCCGCGUGAGUGAUGAAGGCCUUAGGGUUGUAAAGCUCUUUUACCAGGGAUGAUAAUGACAGUACCUGGAGAAUAAGCUCCGGCUAACUCCGUGCCAGCAGCCGCGGUAAUACGGAGGGAGCUAGCGUUGUUCGGAAUUACUGGGCGUAAAGCGUACGUAGGCGGUUAUUCAAGUCAGAGGUGAAAGCCUGGAGCUCAACUCCAGAACUGCCUUUGAAACUAGAUAGCUAGAAUCACGGAGAGGUGAGUGGAAUUCCGAGUGUAGAGGUGAAAUUCGUAGAUAUUCGGAAGAACACCAGUGGCGAAGGCGGCUCACUGGACGUGUAUUGACGCUGAGGUACGAAAGCGUGGGGAGCAAACAGGAUUAGAUACCCCCGUAGUCCCUGAGCGGGCUGGCAAGGCGCAU
rnacentral:rRNA from 1 species